rnacentral:rRNA from 1 species
CCUUAAGGCGUGCGUAGCGAAGCUAACGCGCUAAGUAGACCGCCUGGGGAGUACGGCCGCAAGGUUAAAACUCAAAUGAAUUGACGGGGGCCCGCACAAGCGGUGGAGCAUGUGGUUUAAUUCGAUGCAACGCGAAGAACCUUACCUACACUUGACAUCCAGAGAACUUUCUAGAGAUAGAUUGGUGCCUUCGGGAACUCUGAGACAGGUGCUGCAUGGCU